rnacentral:rRNA from 1 species
GAUGAACGCUGGCGGCGUGCCUAAUACAUGCAAGUCGAGCGAACAGACGAGGAGCUUGCUCCUCUGACGUUAGCGGCGGACGGGUGAGUAACACGUGGAUAACCUACCUAUAAGACUGGGAUAACUUCGGGAAACCGGAGCUAGUACCGGAUAACAUGUUGAACCGCAUGGUUCAACAGUGAAAGACGGUCUUGCUGUCACUUAUAGAUGGAUCCGCGCCGCAUUAGCUAGUUGGUAAGGUAACGGCUUACCAAGGCAACGAUGCGUAGCCGACCUGAGAGGGUGAUCGGCCACACUGGAACUGAGACACGGUCCAGACUCCUACGGGAGGCAGCAGUAGGGAAUCUUCCGCAAUGGGCGAAAGCCUGACGGAGCAACGCCGCGUGAGUGAAGAAGGCCUUCGGAUCGUAAAACUCUGUUAUUAGGGAAGAACAAAUGUGUAAGUAACUAUGCACGUCUUGACGGUACCUAAUCAGAAAGCCACGGCUAACUACGUG